rnacentral:lncRNA from 1 species
CUCGCGGCCUUGCCGGAAUAUGACACGGUUAUGACAUCACGCAGCGCGCGGUGAUAACGUGGCUACUUGGUUGUGUUCGACGUUCGAGUAUAUAAGAGGGAACUCGGAGCUAUUGGAGCACAGAGUCGAGAGCUGCACGAGCCGAGACGCCACAUUCACUCAUCAUGAACGCCGUCGCUAUCCUCGCUACUUUUGCCCUCCUUGUGGCUGUUGCCAGCGCUGGCUUCGUCGGUGGCUGUGGCGGCCUAGGAUAUGGCGGACACGUCCUUGGAUAUGGCGGACACGUCCUUGGAUAUGGUGGUCAUGGCUUUGUCCACGGAGCGGGCUUCGGCGGACACGGUUAUGGCCUGGGGCAUCUUGGCUACGGCUAUGGUGGCUACGGCCUGGGACACGCCGGCCACGGACUCGGCUACGGCUAUGGACUCCACCUGGGAUACAAGCACUAGACAAAAAUAAACAAGCAAAACGUCAA